GCCUGAAGGACUUCCGGGAACCGCAAAGCACGGUGUGCCUCCGCUGUCCUGAAGAAAAAGCCGCGCGCGGACGACUGGCCGGCCCGCGCUUGCAGCUCCCAGAAGUUGACAGGCAUCCUCCGGUGACCGGUGUGAGUAUGGCAUCAGGAUGAUUUGACUGCAAGCAACAGAAAAAUCAAACAAAAAUGGCCUAAGCCAAGAAGAGAAAUGAUUAUUUCACAUUCCAAGAAGUUUGGGAGUCGAGUGGUUAAACGGCUAAUUAAUCUAGAGCUCAACAGUAUCACCCAGGACCCAUUUUCACUAUGGUGGCUAAAGCUCUGCACCCUUCAGGCUUGCACCAUGGCAGCAGCAGUGACAGUAAAGACACCCUUACACCACAAUGCUCCAUGACCAGGGAGAGGGUCUCCUCUCUCCUGCCCCUUUCUGGAGGCUCCACCGAAGAUUUCUCUUCACAUUCCGUUUCUCAUUCCUGAAGCAGUUGCUGGCAACAGGGAUGGACUUACCGCAAUGGGUACAGAGCAACUAAGAUUCACCACUAGUGAACCAUUUAGGGAUGGCCACGUGACUCAGUUCUGGUCACCAAGGUGGUGGAAGAGAAGUUCUCUUGAGGGGCAUCUGGGAAAGAUUCUUCUGCCUGAUAAAACAGGAGCCUAUUCUUGAAUUUUUAUUCUUUCAUAUGCAUUUAAGAAUCAUCUUGUCAAGUUCUUCGAAAAACCCUACUGAAAUUUUUAUUGAAAUUGUAUUGAAUUUAUAUGUGAAUUUGGGAAAAAUUGUCUUUUUUUUUUUUUUGACGGAGUCUCGCUCUGUCACCCAGGCUGGAGUGCAGUGGUACAAUCUCAGCUCACGGCAAACUCGGCCUUCUAGAUUCACGCCAUUCUCCUGCCUCAGCCUCCCAAGUAGCUGGGACUACAGGCACCCACCACCUGGCCUGGCUAAUUUUUUUUGUAUUUUUAGUAGAGACGGGGUUUCACCAUGUUAGCCAGGAUGCUCUCGAUCUCCUGACGUCGUGAUCCGCCAGCCUCGGCCUCCCAAAGUGCUGGGAUUACAGGCGUGAGCCACAGCGCCCGGCCAAUUUCACAAAUAGAUUUUUUUUCUUACUGUAAAUCUUAGCAAGCUCAGCAUACGAAUUUUUUUUUCCUUAAAUUGAAAGCUUUUACCCUUUCACUUAAAGGCAGCACUUUAUGGCUUCUCUUGGGCAUAUCCAAAUUGCUACCAUCACUACUCGUAUUAGUCCAUUUUCACGCUGCUGAUAAAGACAUACCUGAGACUGAGAAAUUUACCAAAUAAAGAGGUGUACUGGACUUACAGUUCCACAUGGCUGGGGAGGCCUCACAAUCAUGGUGGAAGGCAAGAAGGAGCAAGUCAUGUCUUACAUGGAUGGCAGCUGGCAAAGAGAAAGCUUGUACAGGGAGACUCCCGUUUUGAAAACCAUCAGAUCUUGUGAGACUCAUUCACUAUUACAAGAACAGUGCAGGAAAGAUGCACCCCUGUACUUCAAUCACCUCCCAGCAGGUUCCUCCCACGACAUGUGGGAAUUGUGGGAGUUACAAUUCAAGAUGAGAUUUGGUUGGGGACACAGCCAAACCAUAUCACUACUCUUGUGCUUUGGGGCCAUUAUGAAGUAAAACAAGCAUUAUUUGAACACAAGAACUGCAAUACCACCACAGUAGAUCUGAUAACUGUUGGCUACUAAGUGACUAAGGGGCAGGUGAAGUAUACAGCUUGGAUGCGAUGGACAAAGAGGAAGAUCUACCUCCCAGCUGGGAUGGAGCAGGACGAUGCAAGAUUUCAUCACACUACUCAGAAAGGCAUGCAGUUUAAAGCUCGUAAAUUAUUUCAGGAAUUUUCCAUUUAAUAUUUUCAGGCUGUGGCUGACCGUGAGUAACAAACCCAGGAAAGCGAAACUGCAGAACAGUGGAUGGGAGAAAGGGUGAAUUACUGUAUAUUCAUGAGGGAUAUUAGUCCAUAGUUUCUUUUUUCCCUUUUAACAAAUUUUUGGGUUUUGUAUAUAGUUUGUCUGGUUUUGGUAUCAGGGUAAUACUAGCUUCAUAAAAUGAAUUGGAAAGCGUUUCUUCUGUUUUCCUAAAAAGAUUAUAUGGAAUUAGCAUUCAUUCUUUAAACACUUGGUAGAAAUCUUAAGUAAAACCAUCUGAGCUCGGAGAUUUUUUUGUGUGUGUUAUAAAAUUACAUAUUCAGUUUCCUUAAUAUUUAUAAGAUCAUUUUAAUUAUCUGUGUUUUUCAGUGAAACGGGUCAAUUUUCUGUAUGUUGUCAAAUUAAUAUUUGUAGAAUUGUAUUAGUAUUCUUCAUUAUCCUUUUGAUGUCUGCAGAAUCUGUAAUGGUAUCCCUGUUUUAUUUCUGAUAUUAAUUUGUGCCAUUAUGUCUUUUUUUCUUUGUUGAUCUUGUCAGAAGUUUGUCAAUUUUAUCAAUUUGUUCCAAGAACCAGCUCAUU
rnacentral:lncRNA from 1 species